UGGGGAAUAUUGCACAAUGGGCGCAAGCCUGAUGCAGCCAUGCCGCGUGUGUGAAGAAGGCCUUCGGGUUGUAAAGCACUUUUGUCCGGAAAGAAAUCCUUGGCUCUAAUACAGUCGGGGGAUGACGGUACCGGAAGAAUAAGCACCGGCUAACUACGUGCCAGCAGCCGCGGUAAUACGUAGGGUGCAAGCGUUAAUCGGAAUUACUGGGCGUAAAGCGUGCGCAGGCGGUUUGCUAAGACCGAUGUGAAAUCCCCGGGCUCAACCUGGGAACUGCAUUGGUGACUGGCAGGCUAGAGUAUGGCAGAGGGGGGUAGAAUUCCACGUGUAGCAGUGAAAUGCGUAGAGAUGUGGAGGAAUACCGAUGGCGAAGGCAGCCCCCUGGGCCAAUACUGACGCUCAUGCACGAAAGCGUGGGGAGCAAACAGGAUUAGAUACCCUGGUAGUCCACGCCCUAAACGAUGUCAACUAGUUGUUGGGGGAUUCAUUUCCUUAGUAACGUAGCUAACGCGUGAAGUUGGACCGCCUGGGGAGUACGGUCGCAAGAUU
rnacentral:rRNA from 1 species